GGGUUUUAAUAGUGUGCGUUUUUUUCCCCAGGUCUCAUGUUUAGGACAGAAACAGGAUUGUACCUGAGGGAAAGGAUAUGAGUAGAAGACAUUCAUCUCAUCUUGCUCAGGUUUGGGCACACCUGCUUCUUGUACACAGAAGAAGCUGAGAGGGACAGGGGAAAGCAGAGUAGGGAUCACUGCUUAGCCCAGAUCCAAUUCAGGGCAAGAGAACCCUAGAUCAGUGGUUCUGAAGUCAGGAUGCACUUUAGAAUCACUUAGAGAGCUUUAAAAAAAUACAGAUGCUUGUGGGGGGAAGCCUGGGUGCUCAGUCAGUUAAGCAUCUCACCCUUGGUUUCAGCUCAGGUCAUGAUCUUGGGGUCCUGGGUUCAAUCCCCUUAUUGGGCUUGGGGAGUUUGCUUGUCCCUCUCCUUCUGCUCCUCCCCCUGUGUGUUCUCUCUCUCUCUGGAAUAAAUAAAAGCUUAAAAAAAAAUACAGGUGCUUGGGCUCCACUCAGAUCAGUUCAACCAUAGCCUCUGACCUGGACACUAGUGUUUAUUUUUUAUUUUUAUUUUUUAAAGAUUUUAUUUAUUUGAGAGAGCGAGAGCGAGAGAGAGAGAAGGAGCAGGAUGAGGGGCAGAGGGACAAGCAGACUCCCCGCUGAGGAGGGAGCCCGACAUGGGGCUCGAUCCCAGGACCCUGAGAUCAUGCAUGACCUGAGCCAAAGUCAGAUGCUUAACUGCCUGAGCCACCCAGGUGUCCCUGGACACUAGUGUUUAUUAUGAGCUCUCUGGUUACUUCCAGCUUAAAAUAGCACAUCUGGAGUAAGGACUAUUCAUUGUCUCAAAGAUGAGUUAGUUCUCAUUGAUCCCAACCAAUGGGAAGCAAACCGGUAAUCCUUACUUGUUCAGACAAUGGUACUGUGAAGGUUUAAAGUUAUAGAUUCAAAGAAAAAAUAAAAAUGUAUGGAAGGUGACAGGUGUGAGUUCUUAACCUGAGAUCAUAGGGGUUCCAUCACCCCCUGAAACUGCAUGCCAAGCUUUGAGCAAAUGUAGGUCUCUAUAUUUGAGGAAUGGGGUGACAGGGGGAAAGGGUUCAUCCCCUUUAGAGGAUUCCCAAAGGAAGCCACAGACAACAAAUAUUUUAGGAACUGCUGAGGGGAAAAAACACCUUCAUGAAAUUCAUGCCCAUUCCAAUGAAUGUGUGUGAAAGACACACACAUACAGUUUUGAAGAAAGAAAACUUAUAGGUGGGAGGGUCCUGAGUGCUCCCCCAAACUUUCACUGUUCUCCCACUGUUCCCCACGCUAACUGCCAUGGUCACCCGUUCCUGGUGCCUGUGAGAGCUCCCACCUAACAAUUCUGACCCCGUGAAAAUCACCUUUCCUUGAUAUACCUUAGCACAGUGGAGUGAGUGCAAUCUUCUUAAAACUACAAAUGAUGAAACCGAACAAAUAAUUAAGAUGAUCAACCAAUGAAGGAAAUGAUAGCAGGUCAGAUGGAGAAUCUCUCUCUCUCUCCCUCUUUUUUGAAAAUUUCAGAUGGAGAGUCUUUUAAUUCUUACUAUGCUCAUGCUCCAAAUUUCUGUCUCACUUCCCAUAUAUCUUAACUGGCUUCCCCCCAACCCUCCAUCUCCUCUUGGCCCAGGACCCUCUUACUUCUGGCUACAUGGGAACAUUCUCAUGAGCCAAUGUCCCUGGCAGAUCAGUGAGAGAUUGUUGCAGUUUCUAAAAUGUGGGACAUGCCUCAUGCCUUCAGCACCUUUCAACUUCAGUCUGUUUUCAAAGCAAAAAUGGAAAAGCGGUUUGAACUCACCCGCUAAAUCCUACCAGUUGAUAAGGAAAUCCUAGCAGAACUUCUUAAACUGAAAGGGGCAUUUGAAUCCCAAGGCUAUCUUGCUAAAGAUUCUGAUUCCCUCUGAGAAUCGCUGUCCGUGGCAAGAUCCUAAAGGAGUCUGUUGCAGAUGACUCCGAGGUUGGGACCCUUUGGCACUGUCUGCCACCGGGCUGGGGAUUUGACAGACCAGGUGACAGUCCUUGUUUCAAGUUAUCAGCCCUGCUUCCCCCUAGAACACUCUGUAGUUGCUGCAGCUGUGUCAUUGUGGUGGGCUCUGUGCUUUCCCUACCAUUGCUGAUCUCAUGCCUUCCAUUAGCUCAGGAAGAUGGCCUUGUCCCUACCAUCAAGGGACAGCUCCCAUUACAGCGCUGCCUUCAGUCUGCUGGAGAGCUGAUCUUGGCAGAUCCUUGCAAGCUCCUCCCCUCUGCUGAUUGGAUGGGUUUGGAGACUUAUUGCUGCCCCAGUCCAAGCAGUACGACCAGAGCCCUGGUGUCCCACGAGCAUCAGUCUGCCCCCAACCAGGCACUUGGUCUUUUUGUCUGCUGGGUCUGGAGCCCAGGCUGGAAACCUAGAUGUGGUCUCGCCUCCCUUCUCCCGAGGUCUGCUGCUGAAACUGCUGGUCCAGCCCAGAUGGAGCAUGAAGGUGAGAUGCUGACCACAUGGGAUGAUGGAACCGAGACGCUGAGACACAACACCUUGCCCCAUUUUGCCAGACGGCUGCCCCUGGGGCUGAUGCCAAUCCCCCCAGCACCAGUAUUAACUCUGCUGCUUUGAUGUGGUGGAUGUCCAGCUAUUCCAUCACCAUUUGUUGAAAAGACUAUCUUUUCUCUGUCGCAUUGUCUCUGCUUCUUUGACAAAGAUCAGUUCAGUAUAUUUAUGGCAGUCAGGCUGGAUCUUUCUUUGGAGCUCUUAAAGAAACAAAAGAAUAUCUGGGCAACGAAAACAAGAUGCAGGUGCCUGGGAGGUGGUCCAGUGUGGAUAUCAUUCUGGUAACUGCUAAAGUGAAAGAUAACUGGACCAGCAAAUGGUUCCUGGCUACAUAUGGAGGCAAUAUGGGUCCAAGAAAGCUUGAUGACAGAAAGCAGAGAUGUAAUCUAUUCCAAAUGGACCAUCAUCUGGAUAUUUGAAAUGUCAUGCUGUAAACAGUGUUCCGUUGUCUUAUAAGUUGUUAUGUAGGGUUGAAUGCAGAUGAAAGCCUAAAUUUAUAUCAUGAAGCAAAGUAUAAAAUGAAUGUUAACCUUCUAAGUACUUCUUUUUUUCAAUGUCAGAUUCAGUUAACUGCCUGUCUUCUAAUAGCGGUGCACCUAAAAUCUUUAAUGCUCUGGCCAUUUGAUGACCCACCCCCACCAAGGGGUAAGAAAGUUAGAAUUCAAAGGAAUUUUGGGACCCUUUUUCAUAAAACUUAUUUUAUAAAUCAGCUCCACCUUAUUUUUAAAUCAGAAAACUAAGAUCUAGGGAAGCUAUCUAGUCGCAUAGCUCUGUAGGUAGUAGAUGAUCCAGGAAUUUAAUCUACGGGCUCCUAGGAUACGAUAUUUUGUAUGAUGCUAUGUUGCCUUUAAGUAAAUACCUGUCUUAUCCUGUAAUGUUUCCAUCCCUAGGAGAGGACUGAUUUCACAGCGUGUCCUCAUAACCAGAAUAGGUAUUCCAGAAUGGACCAUUUGGUAGUGUAGGCUUUAUUCAUUCAAUUUUCAUUCAUUCAUUCAUUCAGAUAAUAUUUAUUUUCCUUCAGCUUUUAUUGUAAAGAUAUACAUACUCAACAUAAAGAGUAUCAGCAGCAUCAAAAUCCAUAUAAAGGAGUACAAUUCUCCUUUUCUCCACCACAUCGUGCUUCCCAGAUAGUUGCUCAUGAGAGCAUACUGUAUAUCCUUUCAGACAUUCUUUGAUGUAUAAAAAUAUGUUAUAGUAUAUAAUAUAGCACAUAUGUAUGCACCGGUUAAAAAAUGGGGAGUACUUGGGGCGCCUGGGUGGCUCAGUCAUUAAGCGUCUGCCUUCGGCUCAGGUCAUGAUCCCAGGGUCCUGGGAUCGAGCCCCGCAUCCGGCUCCCUGCUCAGCGGAGAGCCUGCUUCUCCCUGUCCCUCUGUCUGCUGCUCUGCCUAUUUGUGCUCUCUCUCUGUGUUAAACAGAUAAAUAAAAAUCUUUAAAAAAAGAAAAAAAAAAGAAAACUAUUAAAAAAAAAGGGGGGGUACUAUACAUAUUUUCUGCAACUUCCCUUUUUAACGUUUUUCACAUCAUAAUAUCACGGACACUUUGCCAUGUCUUAUCUAAUUUGUUCCUGUUAUCAAGUGUGUGUGUAUAUUUUUUAUAUAUUUUUAGAUACAUAGCAAUCCAUAGUUUGCAUGCUAUGGAUGCUUAUCUCACCAUUCCUCUGUUGGUGGGCAUUUUAUGUAGAUCCUAAUUUUUAUGGUGAAAGGCAAUGCUACAAAGAGUGUCUAUUUUUGCAUGUGUAAGAUGCAUUCCUAGAAGGGGAAUUUCUGGGUCCUUCCAUUCAUAUUUACUGAGUAACUAUCAUUUGCAAAGUGCUAUAAAAUGAUUGGAUGGGCUAUAAAAUGAUAUGAUGCAAUCUUUACAGGUAGAUGGUUCCUGCUCUCAUGAAGCUUGUAGAUUAGGUAGCAAGAAAUGUAUACAAAUAGCGAUUUCAAGUAGAAAAUCAUGAGCGCUAUUUGGAAAAUACAUAGAAACUGCCACGGGAGGGUAAAGACACCUUGACUUUCUAACCCAGCCAGUGAAAACUAACAGUUAUCCGGAGAUGGGGGUCUCAGUGGAAAUGCACUGAACAUUUCUGAAUAAAGUUACUUGAAUGAGCUGAAACAUUUGAGAAUGCGGGAGGGGACUUGGGUCUUGAAAGAGGUGUACAAAUGUCCAGAAAACAUAAUUGGUUUUGAACUUUUAGGAAGUAUCUAUAUUUGCAAAAGGGAGAACUGUUGCAGUCCACUAGAUCAUAUAAGACUGAAAGAAUUUUUGUUUCAAAGGUCCUUCCUCAUUGUUUGAUGUAACAAGGUGUUAUUUUGACUCAAGCCUACCUUGCUUUAGGUUUUGGAUUCACAGAUGUGUGGGGUCAGCUACAGGUGGCCUUCUCUUGAAUCUGGACCAUUUUAAUAAAUCACGUAUCCAUCUUCAGCAUAGCAGAGGUUAAGAACGAGCACUUCUAUUUUUUUCUUUUUUCAGUUACGAUCCUAAACCCCAUUGUCGUAGGGAAGCUUCUCCUGAAACUUCAGCAGCCUUCAUUAAAACAUCCUCCUGCGUGGGAAUCUUACAAUAGGAUGCAGAUUUAUGGGUUUUAAAAAUCUCUUCAAGCAUAAAAUGAUUUAUGUGGAGAUGGAGGUUAUAAGCCGUGCGCUCUAACAUCUUCAUCUUUCCAGAGAGAAAUUUGGUGGGGAAAGGUUCAGAUUCUUAUUAUUUUGAGUAUGAUAUUUGGCAAAAAUUCCUCCAGUAAAAAUCUUAGAAUCCUUUUUUGCUCCAUUUAGCUUCAUGUCCUUGAAGUUACCUACUACAUAAUACAAGCUUAGCCCCCACUUGUAAUACUCAGCAAGUUCAAAGUACCCAUCAACACGCAGUGAAAACCCACAGGAUAGUAGGGAAAGUGAUCAAAAACCAGAGAAACUAACCCUAGGCAGAAUAAGAGGCAAUUUUCAGAAGAAAAAAUUGGGGGAAUCUUAAAACAUUUUGAUCAUUCAAAGCAUUUCUCAACUCCUAAUAAGAGAGGGCAACACACUAAAUCAUUGGCAACUGGGUUAGGAGUCAGGUCCUGAUUCUUCCAUUGCAAGGUACAGUGGGGUGAGGCUGGGGUGUAGGACAAAGAGAUUUGCAUUCCUCAGAAUGCAAAGCAGACAGCUGAGUUUAAAUGUUCCCUUUGGUGUGUGAUGUCUUCAUCAGGCAGUCAGGAGGUUCCCCAGAAGCCCUGUCAGGCCUGGGUUUCCAGACAGCUUCUUCAGGAAGCACCAUGGGUGGAUGCCAUCCAUGCAAGGGUCCCUAUGGUCUAUUGUGAGUGAUGUCUCUCAGUAAGGCCCCAGAGCCUGCAUCCCACAAGCAAGAAGCAGCAAGGGAAAAACAAUUUUGGCUUUCACAGGUGUCAGGACUGCAAACAAAGAACUGUUUAUAAAAGAGGCAAUCACCCCCUUUUUAAAGUCAGCUUGGAUGGUUGAAAGCCAUGCUAGGAGUUUUCAAUAAGAAAAAAAUUCUUUCGGGGCGCCUGGGUGGCUCAGUUGGUUGAGCAACUGCUUUCGGCUCAGGUCAUGAUCCUGGAGUCCCUGGAUCGAGUCCCGCAUCAGGCUCCCUGCUCGGCAGGGAGCCUGCUUCUGCCUCUGACCCUCCCCCCUCUCAUGUGCUCUCUCUCUCUCUCAUUCUCUCUGUCUCAAAUAAAUAAAUAAAAUCUUAAAAAAAAAAAAAAAGAAAAAAUUCUUUCAAUAAGGAAGAAUUUAAUAGGGAUGAACACUCUUAUAGAUAAACCCUCUGGAAAUGGGAGAGUUAACUUGUUUGUUGAUUAUCAGAAAUAUAAAAAAAGAUGGAUGCAGUUAGUUUUCAAGUAGAUUUUACCUAUCAUAUUGAAACAUACCCUAGAGGUUUCUUUAAAUUGUGAUUUCUUUAUUAUUAAAACUAGUAACUGAUGUUGGGGGCACUUGGCUACCUUAGUCAGUAGAGCAUGUGACCAUUGAUCUCAGGAUCAUGAGUUCAAGCCCCACGUUGGACAUGGAGCCUACUUAAACAAAAACUAGUAACUGAAUCUAGUUGGUGUGGUCAUGGGUUAAGACACUGUGGGUUCAGAACCAAGUGGAAUCGGGUUUCAGUCUCACUUCUGCCACUCACCACAUGUAAAACUAGGCAUAGAUGGCCUCACCUUUCUGUGCCUCAGUUUCCUUGUCUGUAAAAUGAGACCCAUAAUAGAAUCUCUUACACAGGUUAGUAGGAGUGAUAAAUGAGAUGAUUUCUAGAAUGUACUAAAAAAUUAUUAAUCAUCACAACUAAUACUAGUUAUAAUUCGUGUUGUGGUUUAAAUAACAAUUACAUUAAAAUAUUACUUAGUAUUAAUUAUGUUCCAGAAUUAGAAGCUUUUAAACCAUUAUGACUAAUUAUUGUUGUUUGGUUUUAAUAAAACUCCACUUUGGGGUGCCUGGGUGGCUCAGAUGGUUGAGUGUCUGCCUUCGGCUCAGGUCACAAAGAGUGUCUAUUUUUGCAUGUGUAAGAUGCAUUCCUAGAAGGGGAAUUUCUGGGUCCUUCCAUUCGGCUUGAUCUCCAGGUUCUGGGAUCAAGCUCCGUAUUAGGCUCCAAGGAGCCUGCCUCUCCCCCUGCUUGUGCUCUCUCUGUGUCUCUCUCUCUCAAAUGAAUAAAUAAGAUCUUAAAAAAAAAAAAACCUCCACUUCAUCCACAUGUUCACAAAAUAAGACAAUUCUUUCUCAGGUCAAUAAGUAGCCACUAUACAUACCAAGAGAUCAC